AUGCACAGCUUCCUACCUGGUUUUGAAAAAAAUUAUACUGUGGGCUUGGCAGCAAUAUGCUGGGCCAUAUGGCUAGCCCGGAACAGAGCUACUUUUGAAAGCAAAUGGAUUAACUCUCCUUUCGAGAUCGUGUUCACAGCUUGCACCUUUCUAAUAUAUUGGGCAGGUCUUCAGAAACCUGGGAUGGAAGAGAUGGUGAAGAAGGGAGCGGAGAUGCUGAAAGCGAAUACUACUCAGAUGAUGCUGCUGUGUGGACCUCCUCCGGCGCCAAACAUGGACGGGCGCGACUGA
rnacentral:rRNA from 1 species